AGGCUUCUGGGAGGGCAUCUGUAACCCCACUGAUCACCAGGGCUGGUAAAGCUGACCUGGCUGGCUAGAUGGGUGUCCCCUUCCUCCCUCACAGCUCUACCUGAGUCUCUCCAGAAGCUGCACGCUCAGUUGAAAAGGACAACCUCCUCGAAAAGGAAGACUGGUCGAAACAAGCUCUCAAGGUCUUUAUUGUGUCUCCUUGUGCCAAGUGCGCUGAGCUGACGUCCCUG
rnacentral:sRNA from 1 species